rnacentral:rRNA from 1 species
AUGGACGCUGGCGGCGUGCCUAAUACAUGCAAGUCGAGCGAACAGACGAGGAGCUUGCUCCUCUGACGUUAGCGGCGGACGGGUGAGUAACACGUGGAUAACCUACCUAUAAGACUGGGAUAACUUCGGGAAACCGGAGCUAAUACCGGAUAAUAUAUUGAACCGCAUGGUUCAAUAGUGAAAGACGGUUUUGCUGUCACUUAUAGAUGGAUCCGCGCCGCAUUAGCUAGUUGGUAAGGUAACGGCUUACCAAGGCAACGAUGCGUAGCCGACCUGAGAGGGUGAUCGGCCACACUGGAACUGAGACACGGUCCAGACUCCUACGGGAGGCAGCAGUAGGGAAUCUUCCGCAAUGGGCGAAAGCUUGACGGAGCAACGCCGCGUGAGUGAUGAAGGUCUUCGGAUCGUAAAACUCUGUUAUUAGGGAAGAACAAAUGUGUAAGUAACUAUGCACGUCUUGACGGUACCUAAUCAGAAAGCCACGGCUAACUACGUG